rnacentral:rRNA from 1 species
AUGGGUUCCUCGAGUGUUGUUUCAUGGUGGCAGCAGGAGCAGCUGCCUGCCCUCGUAUUGGGAAGCCUUGCCGUUCAGUACUUCCUCUUCUUCUCCGCGCGCAGGCGCAAGUCCCGUAUUCCACCUUGGUACAGAUUCUUCAUCUGGCUCUCAUAUCUAGCCAGCGACGCCCUGGCCAUUUAUGCCCUCGCCACGCUCUUCAACCGCCAAAAGAAGAUGCAGUACCGUAGCCGCGAUCUACAGGUCCUGUGGGCGCCUAUCCUGCUCAUACAUCUCGGCGGCCAGCUCGUCAUAACCGCAUAUAACAUUGAAGACAACGAGUUGUGGAAGCGGCACAUCAUCACCUCCUUGUCUCAGGUAACGGUAGCUAUCUACGUGUUCUGCAAGUCAUGGCCAUCAUCUGCUGAUGAAAAGUUAGUGGAUGCAGCAAUUUUCCUUUUCACCCUCGGGGCUGGCAAAUGCUUCACGAAACCGUUGGAUCUCAUGAGUGCUAGCUUCAGCAGCCUUGGUAGGUUUUUGGAUGGAAAUACUGAUAGAGUUACAGAUGGACAAAACGAGCUAGAAGCCUAUGUGCGAGAUGCAAAGGCCGCCAUGCUCCAAAAAGAUCUAGAACCCCCCAAUGAUCGCUCCUACAUACUGCAUACACUACUGAUAGACAAUGCACUUAACUUGGAGAUUCGCCAGACUAUACUACAAAGUUUUUGUCACCUAGAUGACGAAAAAGCUCAUGAGACACUAACAAACGGCCUCUCCGAUUUAUUUGAUGUUCUCUAUACAAAAAGUCCUUGGACCAAAGAUAUGAGCGGAAGGAGUUUUGUUUUGAUGUGGUCAUUCUCCGUGACGUCGCAAAUUGCGGCCAUUGUUCUGUUCUACAAAAGCCACAAACAAACAUAUAACCUUAGCGAUGUCAUUAUUACAUAUGUAUUGCUGUACGGGACUCUUGUGCUAGAGUUCUCUUCCCUAUUUGGGCUGAUAUUACUCAGUAACGAGUGGUCUGCCACGGUCGCUCAACAUAACAUCAUAGGAUUCUUUGCCCAGACCAAAAAGCCAAGCAAGCUGAUGAGCUUCGCUAGGAGCUUAUCGUGCGAGGUCUUCGUUAGCCAAUGUUUGGGCAUGGAGUCUUGUGACUCAUCCAAGAACAUUACAAAGUUAGUUCAUCAACAUAUCAGAGAUGGGUGGGAGAAGUACAUAACUGAUGCUAAGAGUUACAAGGAGUUCAAUGAUAUCAGGGGCCAGUUGACACUUCAGCACAAGAAAUGUGACCAAGAGAUACACAACAGCUUACAGCAGCCAUUCGAUCAGAGUGUCCUUGUCUGGCACUUGGUGACAGAUUUCUGCUUUUACUGUAGAAGCACAUCUCCAGACGAUGAAGAGUGUGCCCAGCGAUGCAGAGAAAUAUCCAACUAUAUGAUGCAUUUGUUAUUUGCUAAUCCUGAGAUGCUAUUGCCAGGCAGUAGAAAGCAUCUUUGCAAACUCGCAUAUGACCAACUCAAUGACAUCUUCAAGCGUCAGGAGACACCCAUGGAUAAAGGAAAACUCGCCCAAAAGAUUGUUGAUACUUUGAUUUGUAGAGACGAUGCAUCCUUUGUCUGCGACGCAGUGGCGCUUUACACCUGGUUGAAAGAUAUUGACGAGAAGACGAUGUGGGAGGUGAUACAAGGUGUGUGGGUCGAGAUGCUCUGUUUUUCUGCUGGUAGAUGCCGAGGGUACUUGCAUGCCAAAAGUAUGGGCGGCGGCGGGGAGUACCUCUCCUAUAUCUGGCUUCUGUUGCACCACACUGGGAUGGAGACAUUCCAACACAGACUUGAGAGGACACAA